GCCGCCAUAGCUCAGGGGCAGAGCACUAGUCUCGUAAACUAGGGGUCGAGAGUUCGAUUCUCUCUGGCGGCA